AGAUUAAGUUAUUAAGGGCGCACGGUGGAUGCCUUGGCACUAGAAGCCGAUGAAGGACGUUACUAACGACGAUAUGCUUUGGGUAGCUGUAAGUAAGCGUUGAUCCAGAGAUUUCCGAAUGGGGGAACCCAGCAUGAGUUAUGUCAUGUUAUCGACAUGUGAAUUCAUAGCAUGUCAGAAGGCAGACCCGGAGAACUGAAACAUCUUAGUACCCGGAGGAAGAGAAAGAAAAAUCGAUUCCCUGAGUAGCGGCGAGCGAAACGGGAAGAGCCCAAACCAACAAGCUUGCUUGUUGGGGUUGUAGGACACUCUAUACGGAGUUACAAAAGAACAUGUUAGACGAAUCAUCUGGAAAGAUGAAUCAAAGAAGGUAAUAAUCCUGUAGUCGAAAACAUAUUCUCUCUUGAGUGGAUCCUGAGUACGACGGAGCACGUGAAAUUCCGUCGGAAUCUGGGAGGACCAUCUCCUAAGGCUAAAUACUCUCUAGUGACCGAUAGUGAACCAGUACCGUGAGGGAAAGGUGAAAAGUACCCCGGAAGGGGAGUGAAAGAGAACUUGAAACCGUGUGCUUACAAGUAGUCAGAGCCCGUUAAUGGGUGAUGGCGUGCCUUUUGUAGAAUGAACCGGCGAGUUACGAUCUGAUGCAAGGUUAAGCAGCAAAUGUGGAGCCGCAGCGAAAGCGAGUCUGAAUAGGGCGUUGAGUAUUUGGUCGUAGACCCGAAACCAGGUGAUCUACCCUUGGUCAGGUUGAAGUUCAGGUAACACUGAAUGGAGGACCGAACCGACUUACGUUGAAAAGUGAGCGGAUGAACUGAGGGUAGCGGAGAAAUUCCAAUCGAACUUGGAGAUAGCUGGUUCUCUCCGAAAUAGCUUUAGGGCUAGCCUCAAGUGAUGAUUAUUGGAGGUAGAGCACUGUUUGGACGAGGGGCCCCUCUCGGGUUACCGAAUUCAGACAAACUCCGAAUGCCAAUUAAUUUAACUUGGGAGUCAGAACAUGGGUGAUAAGGUCCGUGUUCGAAAGGGAAACAGCCCAGACCACCAGCUAAGGUCCCAAAAUAUAUGUUAAGUGGAAAAGGAUGUGGCGUUGCCCAGACAACUAGGAUGUUGGCUUAGAAGCAGCCAUCAUUUAAAGAGUGCGUAAUAGCUCACUAGUCGAGUGACACUGCGCCGAAAAUGUACCGGGGCUAAACAUAUUACCGAAGCUGUGGAUUGUCCUUUGGACAAUGGUAGGAGAGCGUUCUAAGAGCGUCGAAGCAUGAUCGCAAGGACAUGUGGAGCGCUUAGAAGUGAGAAUGCCGGUGUGAGUAGCGAAAGACGGGUGAGAAUCCCGUCCACCGAUUGACUAAGGUUUCCAGAGGAAGGCUCGUCCGCUCUGGGUUAGUCGGGUCCUAAGCUGAGGCCGACAGGCGUAGGCGAUGGAUAACAGGUUGAUAUUCCUGUACCACCUAGUAUCGUUUUAAUCGAUGGGGGGACGCAGUAGGAUAGGCGAAGCGUGCUGUUGGAGUGCACGUCCAAGCAGUAAGGCUGAGUGUUAGGCAAAUCCGGCACUCAUAAGGCUGAGCUGUGAUGGGGAGAGGAAAUUGUUUCCUCGAGUCGUUGAUUUCACACUGCCGAGAAAAGCCUCUAGAUAGAUAACAGGUGCCCGUACCGCAAACCGACACAGGUAGUCAAGAUGAGAAUUCUAAGGUGAGCGAGCGAACUCUCGUUAAGGAACUCGGCAAAAUGACCCCGUAACUUCGGGAGAAGGGGUGCUCUUUAGGGUUCACGCCCAGAAGAGCCGCAGUGAAUAGGCCCAAGCGACUGUUUAUCAAAAACACAGGUCUCUGCUAAACCGUAAGGUGAUGUAUAGGGGCUGACGCCUGCCCGGUGCUGGAAGGUUAAGAGGAGUGGUUAGCUUCUGCGAAGCUACGAAUCGAAGCCCCAGUAAACGGCGGCCGUAACUAUAACGGUCCUAAGGUAGCGAAAUUCCUUGUCGGGUAAGUUCCGACCCGCACGAAAGGCGUAACGAUUUGGGCACUGUCUCAACGAGAGACUCGGUGAAAUCAUAGUACCUGUGAAGAUGCAGGUUACCCGCGACAGGACGGAAAGACCCCGUGGAGCUUUACUGUAGCCUGAUAUUGAAAUUCGGCACAGCUUGUACAGGAUAGGUAGGAGCCUUUGAAACGUGAGCGCUAGCUUACGUGGAGGCGUUGGUGGGAUACUACCCUAGCUGUGUUGGCUUUCUAACCCGCACCACUUAUCGUGGUGGGAGACAGUGUCAGGCGGGCAGUUUGACUGGGGCGGUCGCCUCCUAAAAGGUAACGGAGGCGCUCAAAGGUUCCCUCAGAAUGGUUGGAAAUCAUUCAUAGAGUGUAAAGGCAUAAGGGAGCUUGACUGCGAGACCUACAAGUCGAGCAGGGUCGAAAGACGGACUUAGUGAUCCGGUGGUUCCGCAUGGAAGGGCCAUCGCUCAACGGAUAAAAGCUACCCCGGGGAUAACAGGCUUAUCUCCCCCAAGAGUUCACAUCGACGGGGAGGUUUGGCACCUCGAUGUCGGCUCAUCGCAUCCUGGGGCUGUAGUCGGUCCCAAGGGUUGGGCUGUUCGCCCAUUAAAGCGGUACGCGAGCUGGGUUCAGAACGUCGUGAGACAGUUCGGUCCCUAUCCGUCGUGGGCGUAGGAAAUUUGAGAGGAGCUGUCCUUAGUACGAGAGGACCGGGAUGGACAUACCUCUGGUGUACCAGUUGUCGUGCCAACGGCAUAGCUGGGUAGCUAUGUAUGGACGGGAUAAGUGCUGAAAGCAUCUAAGCAUGAAGCCCCCCUCAAGAUGAGAUUUCCCAACUUCGGUUAUAAGAUCCCUCGAAGAUGACGAGGUUAAUAGGUUCGAGGUGGAAGCGUGGUGACACGUGGAGCUGACGAAUACUAAUCGAUCGAAGACUUAAUCAAUUU
rnacentral:rRNA from 1 species